rnacentral:rRNA from 1 species
UACAGAGGUGGCAAGCGUUGUUCGGAAUUACUGGGCGUAAAGGGCGCGUAGGCGGCCGCCUAAGUCACGUGUGAAAGCCCUCGGCUUAACCGAGGAACUGCACGUGAAACUGGGCGGCUUGAGUUCGGGAGAGGGAAGCGGAAUUCCGGGUGUAGCGGUGAAAUGCGUAGAUAUCCGGAGGAACACCAGUGGCGAAGGCGGCUUCCUGGACCGACACUGACGCUGAGGCGCGAAAGCUAGGGGAGCAAACGGG